GAGGCGAAACAGAUAACCUUCUUCUUCCACAUGCUUCCCUUUCAAUUGAAAAAUCAAUCGACAACCAUCUUCUCUCAAUAAUAAUAUGGCGAAUCCAGUUAGAUCAACACUAUGUGUGUUAUUAUAGUGCAAGAAUCGAGGGAUCGAAAUUGAGAGGGGUAGUUCACGAUCCACACCCAAAGAAAGGUUCGGCAACGUUUAUCAGG